rnacentral:rRNA from 1 species
GUUCCCAUUCCGAACACAGUAGUUAAGCUCAUUAACGGUGAAAAUACUUGGCUGGAGACGGCCCGGGAAAAUAACACGGCGCGCACA